rnacentral:rRNA from 1 species
UGGGGGAUUUUGCACAAUGGGCGCAAGCCUGAUGCAGCGACGCCGCGUGAGGGAUGAAGGCCUUCGGGUUGUAAACCUCUUUCGCUGGGUUGAAAGGCCAUGCUUUGGGUGUGGUUGAUUUGAACUGGUAAAGAAGUACCGGCUAACUACGUGCCAGCAGCCGCGGUAAUACGUAGGGUACUAGCGUUGUCCGGAUUUAUUGGGCGUAAAGGGCUUGUAGGUGGUUUGUCGCGUUUGUCGUGAAAUCCUGUGGCUUAACCAUGGGCUUGCGGUGGGUACGGGCAGGCUUGAGUGCGGUAGGGGAGACUGGAAUUCCUGGUGUAGCGGUGGAAUGCGCAGAUAUCAGGAGGAACACCGGUGGCGAAGGCGGGUCUCUGGGCCGUUACUGACACUGAGGAGCGAAAGCGUGGGGAGCGAACAGG